rnacentral:rRNA from 1 species
AUUGAACGCUGGCGGCAUGCCUUACACAUGCAAGUCGAACGGCAGCACGGAGCUUGCUCUGGUGGCGAGUGGCGAACGGGUGAGUAAUAUAUCGGAACGUACCCAAGAGUGGGGGAUAACGUAGCGAAAGUUACGCUAAUACCGCAUACGAUCUAAGGAUGAAAGCAGGGGACCUUCGGGCCUUGUGCUCCUGGAGCGGCCGAUAUCUGAUUAGCUAGUUGGUGAGGUAAAGGCUCACCAAGGCAUCGAUCAGUAGCUGGUCUGAGAGGACGACCAGCAAAACUGGAACGGGGACCCGGUCCAGACUCCUACGGGAGGCAGCAGUGGGGAAUUUUGGACAAUGGGGGCAACCCUGAUCCAGCAAUGCCGCGUGAGUGAAGAAGGCCUUCGGGUUGUAAAGCUCUUUUGUCAGGGAAGAAACGGUGAAGGCUAAUAUCCUUUGCUAAUGACGGUACCUGAAGAAUAAGCACCGGCUAACUACGUGCCAGCCGCCGCGGUAA